CCUGUCGUAGGUAUGCUUCUGGAAGCCAUGGCGUCCGCGGGAAUUGGAUUCAGACCUAUCACAUACAAGUCGAACGGCAGCGCGGGUGAAUGCACUAGUUAGUGAGUGGUGACAGGGUGAGUAAUAUAUCGGCAUGUGCCCUAGAGUGGGGGAUAAUGUAUCGAAAGUUACAAUAAUCCCGCAUGUGAUGUAUGGAUGAAAGUGGGGGGCCGCAAGGCCUCACGAUAUUGGAGCGUCAGAUAUCUGAUUACCUAGUAGGUGGGGUAAAAGCAUAACAAGGUGACGAUCA
rnacentral:rRNA from 1 species